rnacentral:rRNA from 1 species
UACGGAGGGAGCUAGCGUUGUUCGGAAUUACUGGGCGUAAAGCGCACGUAGGCGGCGAUUCAAGUCAGAGGUGAAAGCCCGGGGCUCAACCCCCGGAACUGCCUUUGAAACUAGAUUGCUAGAAUCUUGGAGAGGUCAGUGGAAUUCCGAGUGUAGAGGUGAAAUUCGUAGAUAUUCGGAAGAACACCAGUGGCGAAGGCGACUGACUGGACAAGUAUUGACGCUGAGGUGCGAAAGCGUGGGGAGCAAACAGG